rnacentral:lncRNA from 1 species
CUGGUGAAUGGACAUCAAUGUUAGCUUUUUAUUGAUAAACUGAUUGGAGAGCAUGACUUCCUAUUUGUGGUCAAAGGGCUGGCUCAUAACCCUCUUUGCACCCAUACAGGGUCCCAUACAUGGUCCCCCAUAGAGAACUUGGAAAGGCCUGCUGGGGGAAGUUUGGGCUUCAGAGUCACUCAUCUACUGAGGAUUCCUGCCUAGCCCUGGUAUGGAGAAAAGGGAUGAAAAGAGGAAAUAUCCCUAGUCUUACAGUCUUUUAAUAACUUAGCUCUACCCACCAAGAACUGUGGUCCCAAGGCUGUGGCCCCACAUCAGGUAACUCAUUCACUUCCCCUCUGAGGGGUAGAGGGGAAGGGGUGGGGCAAGAGGCCAGGAGUGUUACUCUUUUUGCGUUCUGUCCCUGUGGAAACGGGAGGCAAGGGUCACUGAGAUGUCAUCCAGGUAUUAGAUGGCAGAGAAUUU